rnacentral:misc_RNA from 1 species
AAAGUCGUAACAAGGUUUCCGUAGGUGAACCUGCGGAAGGAUCAUUACCGAAUGAAAUGUGCCUGGAGUGGGUAGGCCUUUGGUCUCCCACGCCCCCCCCUCUUUUCACCACACAAAUCCUGACGUCGUAUGGUCGUGGCAUCCUUGCCCCUAAAUAUAUAAAUAUAACUUUCAACAACGGAUCUCUUGGCUCUC